rnacentral:rRNA from 1 species
AACGAACGCUGGCGGCGCGCCUAAUACAUGCAAGUCGAGCGAGAAGACGUAGCAAUACGUUUGUAAAGCGGCGAACGGGUGAGGAAUACAUGGGUAACCUACCCUAGAGUGGGGAAUAACUAGCCGAAAGGUUAGCUAAUACCGCGUACGCUCCUUGGACUUCGGUUCAGGGAGGAAAGCGAUACCGAGGGUAUCGCGCUCUUGGAUGGGCUCAUGUCCUAUCAGCUGUUGGGAGGUACGGCUCACCAAGGCUUCGACGGGUAGCUGGUCUGAGAGGACGAUCAGCCACACUUGGGCACUGCGACACGGGGCCAGGACUCCUACGGGAGGCAGCAGUAAGGAAUAUUGCGCAAUGGGCAAAAGCCUGACGCAGCGACGCCGCGUGGGGGAUGAAGGUCUUCGGA